rnacentral:rRNA from 1 species
GUUGAGCCCGAGUAAACGGCGGCCGUAACUAUAACGGUCCUAAGGUAGCGAAAUUCCUUGUCGGUUAAAUACCGACCUGCAUGAAUGGCGUAACGAGAUGGGAGCUGUCUCAACCAGAGAUUCAGUGAAAUUGUAGUGGAGGUGAAAAUUCCUCCUACCCGCGGCAAGACGGAAAGACCCC